rnacentral:rRNA from 1 species
UACGAAGGGGGCUAGCGUUGUUCGGAUUUACUGGGCGUAAAGCGCAUGUAGGCGGGCCUGCAAGUUGGGGGUGAAAUCCCGGAGCCCAACUCCGGAACUGCCUCCAAAACUGCAGGCCUGGAGCAGAAGAGAGGCGAGUGGAAUUCCGAGUGUAGAGGUGAAAUUCGUAGAUAUUCGGAGGAACACCAGUGGCGAAGGCGACUCGCUGGCUUCUUGCUGACGCUGAGAUGCGAAAGCGUGGGGAGCAAACAGG